GCUCCUGUGGCACAAUGGGUCAGUGCAUCUGGCUGUUGACCAGAAGGUCAGUGGUUCAAGUCAAGGGAUG